CGUCGGUCCCCUCGCGACGAUACACCGUGAACCCCGUCAGGUCCGGAAGGAAGCAGCGGCAGCGGUCGACUCGGGCGCCGGGGUGUGGCUGGCGCUG
rnacentral:SRP_RNA from 1 species